UACAGAGGUCCCGAGCGUUGUUCGGAUUCACUGGGCGUAAAGGGUGCGUAGGUGGCAAGGUAAGUUUGAUGUGAAAGCUCAGGGCUUAACCCUGAAAUGGCAUUGAAUACUACUGUGCUGGAGGUUUGGAGGGGGGACUGGAAUUCUUGGUGUAGCAGUGAAAUGCGUAGAUAUCAAGAGGAACACCAGUGGCGAAGGCGAGUCCCUGGACAACACCUGACGCUGAGGCACGAAAGCCAGGGGAGCAAACGGG
rnacentral:rRNA from 1 species